rnacentral:lncRNA from 1 species
GCCAAAGGCUAGACUAUGAGAGUCGUAAGCCAAAGGCCAGACUCAGAUAGUCGCAAGCCAGAGCAAGCUUGGUGCUACCUCUUUUUGUUUCUUUGUUGUUGACGAGUAAUGGAUAGUUUCUGAAUACUGAGAAAUUAAUCUAGAGUGCCAAACUGUGAGAGUCGUAAUUCUGUGUGAUGAAUUGAGAAAUUGAAUAGAAUAGAUAAGUUGGAGAUCAGUAAUUGAAUAUAUAUAAACCACAAAGAGAGUAAGUGGGAGAUGAACGGAUAAGAAUAUGAAAGUAUUGUUGAAUUGAUAGUCGUAGAAUAGAUUAUGGAUUGAAUUAAGAUUGAAGUAGUAAGCCUUGGUAUUUUG